UGGCUCAGUCGGUGGAGCAUGAGACUCUUGAUCUCGGGGUUGUGAGUUCAAGCCCCAU
rnacentral:tRNA from 1 species